UACAGAGGUCCCAAGCGUUGUUCGGAUUCAUUGGGCGUAAAGGGUGCGUAGGCGGCGGGGUAAGUUGGAUGUGAAAUCUCGGGGCUCAACCCCGAAACUGCAUUCGAUACUGCCGUGCUUGAGGACUGGAGAGGAGACUGGAAUUUACGGUGUAGCGGUGAAAUGCGUAGAUAUCGUAAGGAAGACCAGUGGCGAAGGCGGGUCUCUGGACAGUUCCUGACGCUGAGGCACGAAGGUCAGGGGAGCAAACGGGG
rnacentral:rRNA from 1 species